rnacentral:rRNA from 1 species
AUACAUAGGUAACAGAGGCGAACCGGGAGAACUGAAACAUCUAAGUACCCCGAGGAAAAGAAAUCAACCGAGAUUCCCUCAGUAGCGGCGAGCGAACGGGGAUUAGCCCUUAAGCAUCUUGGAAGUUAGUGGAACGGUCCUGGAAAGGCCGGCGAUACAGGGUGAUAGCCCCGUACACGAAAACAACCUUGAUGUGAAAUCGAGUAGGGCGGGACACGUGACAUCCUGUCUGAAUAUGGGGGGACCAUCCUCCAAGGCUAAAUACUCCUGACUGACCGAUAGUGAACCAGUACCGUGAGGGAAAGGCGAAAAGAACCCCUGUGAGGGGAGUGAAAUAGAACCUGAAACCGUGUACGUACAAGCAGUGGGAGCCCUUCGGGGUGACUGCGUACCUUUUGUAUAAUGGGUCAGCGACUUACAUUUUGUAGCGAGGUUAACCGUAUAGGGGAGCCGUAGGGAAACCGAGUCUUAACUGGGCGUCUAGUUGCAAGGUGUAGACCCGAAACCGGGUGAUCUAGCCAUGGGCAGGUUGAAGGUUGAGUAACAUCAACUGGAGGACCGAACCCACUAACGUUGCAAAGUUAGGGGAUGACCUGUGGCUGGGGGUGAAAGGCCAAUCAAACUCGGAGAUAGCUGGUUCUCCCCGAAAGCUAUUUAGGUAGCGCCUCGGACGAAUACUACUGGGGGUAGAGCACUGUUUGGGCUAGGGGGUCAUCCCGACUUACCAACCCCAUGCAAACUCCGAAUACCAGUAAGUAAUAUCCGGGAGACACACGGCGGGUGCUAACGUCCGUCGUGAAGAGGGAAACAACCCAGACCGCCGGCUAAGGUCCCAAAGUUCUGGUUAAGUGGGAAACGAUGUGGGAAGGCUCAGACAGCUAGGAUGUUGGCUUAGAAGCAGCCAUCAUUUAAAGAAAGCGUAAUAGCUCACUAGUCGAGUCGGCCUGCGCGGAAGAUGUAACGGGGCUCAAACCAGGCACCGAAGCCGCGGAUUCACACUUAUGUGUGAGUGGUAGGGGAGCGUUCUGUAAGUCUGCGAAGGUGUAUCGAGAGGUAUGCUGGAGAUAUCAGAAGUGCGAAUGCUGACGUAAGUAACGAUAAAGGGGGUGAAAAGCCUCCUCGCCGGAAGACCAAGGGUUCCUGUCCAACGUUAAUCGGGGCAGGGUGAGUCGACCCCUAAGGCGAGGCCGAAAGGCGUAGUCGAUGGGAAGCAGGUUAAUAUUCCUGCACGACUUGUAAUUGCGAUGGGGGGACGGAGAAGGCUAGGUGGGCCAGGCGACGGUUGUCCUGGUGAAAGUGCGUAGGUGGUGUUUCUAGGCAAAUCCGGAGACACA